UACGAAGGGGGCUAGCGUUGCUCGGAAUUACUGGGCGUAAAGCGCGCGUAGGCGGGUUGCUAAGUCCGCUGUGAAAGCCCGAGGCUCAACCUCGGAGGGUCGGUGGAUACUGGCAGUCUUGAAGGUGGUAGGGGGAGAUGGAAUUACCGGUGUAGCGGUGAAAUGCGUAGAGAUCGGUAGGAACACCAGUGGCGAAGGCGGUCUCCUGGCCCACUCUUGACGCUGAGGCGCGAAAGCUGGGGGAGCGAACGGG
rnacentral:rRNA from 1 species